GAUGAACGCUGGCGGCGUGCUUAACACAUGCAAGUCGAACGAAGCACUUUAUUUGAUUUCCUUCGGGACUGAUUAUUUUGUGACUGAGUGGCGGACGGGUGAGUAACGCGUGGGUAACCUGCCUUGUACAGGGGGAUAACAGUCGGAAACGGCUGCUAAUACCGCAUAAGCGCCCGGCAUCGCAUGAUGCAGUGUGAAAAACUUCGGUGGUAUACGAUGUACCCGCGUUGGAUUAGCUAGUCGGCGGGGUAAAGGGACACCAAGGCGACGAGCCGUAGCUGGGCUGAGAGGAGGACUAGCCAAACUGGAACUGAGACACGGUCCAGACUCCUACGGGAGGCAGCAGUGGGGAAGAUUGGACAAUGGGCGCAAGCCUGAUCAAGCCAUACCGCGUGGGUGAAGAAGGCCUUCGGGUUGUAAAGCCCUUUUGUCGGGAAAGAAAAGCAGCAGGUUAAUACCCCGCUGUUCUGACGGUACCAAAAGAAUAAGCACCGGCUAACUUCGUG
rnacentral:rRNA from 1 species